GUUCAGUUCCGCCUAAUUGUUUCUACAUAUAGAAUAAUGGAAGGUUUUGCUUCUGCUUGACAGCGAUGAAUAAAAUGUACAUUAUUAGGAUCCGAUAACUGACAGAUAACUGGGGUUAGGUCAUCAUACCUCUUAUUAAUUCUUAUUGUCCCAGUUUGACCCAUCUGACAAAUGUCACGUGUAUGCAGAACAAUGUCCUAGGAUAAAUUAGGAUUCAAUCCAUAUUGAUUCUAAUACCCCAUGUAGUGUUAUGUUUCACUCUAAGAACUGUACACCCUGAAUGCAAAUGUAUAAGUUGUCGAUGAAUACAUAUGGAGUGAGGAAUCUUUAGCAACAUAGACAGUUAAGACCCAAUCGGACCAUCUAACAUUGGAAUGUUUCUGCUGUAGACUUAGAGCUUAAUCAGUCCUUGGUCUUUUCUUAUAUUAAGUAUAACCAUAUACCUAUCCCAUGUAUGUUUUAAUUCCUUCACUAUACUGACCUCUACCACUUUUUCUGGGAGGCAGUUCCGCUUACCUACCAGCCUCUCGGUAAAGUGGCACCCACUUUGUUCACCACAUCAUGUGCUGAAACCAUAAUACGAUUUGCUAAAAAGCAAGUGGGAUAAAAUAAUAUGACGUAAUGUCCUAUUUCAAAUACAUAACAGACCAACGGAGUAUUAUGCAAAUCCAUAACAAAA